CCUCGACAAACAUGGAAAUCACAAUGAUCAUUAUCAUGAUUAUAAUAAUCUUAAGUACAUGUAGAAUAUUUUUUUUUAAAUAGGGAGAUAUCCUUCUACUACAUAUAACCCUCUUUUCAUUUUUGACAAAUAAGUAACUCUUAGAGUUAGCAAUUACAAGUCCUCAGUUUUUCGUCCUAUACUUACUGGAAGACAUAUUAAACUGGCCUUGUGUUUUGUUUCUAUCAUGAAACUUUUUAACAAAUCAUUAAAAUAUAACAAUAUUUUACAGUUUACAACUGAUCGCUGACAAAUAUGCUAAUAAUUUAUACAUUACCGCAUUUAUAUGUAUAUAUCAUGUUAAUAUCCUAUUUUUUUCCCUUAAUUUUGCAACAGGAUGACCCAUAAGUUAAUCAACUUAUAAAUAUGCCAUGAACAUGAUAUUUUAAAUAAAAUUGUUUAAAAGUAAUAUGUUUAAUUGCCCAAUAAAUCAAAUUCAUUGUAUGCAAUGCAAUAAGGUAUACUAAUUACAGUUUACUGACAAUAUUCAAUUACUACAAAUGCUGAAAGACAGGUCAUUUGAUUCUGUCAUAUUUUUUCAAUCCCAGAAUAUAGAUUUAUCAGCUCUGCCCACCUAAUUAAUGAACACUAUUUCUACAUAAUGUUUCUGUAACUCAUGCUAAGGAUUGCAUGUGUACUAAACAAAUCACAAAUUUUAUUAAUAUU
rnacentral:lncRNA from 1 species